AUCUUCCCAACUCGCCAGACCUCACACAACCCCCACCGUUUCUCCCGUCUCACUCACUUCUGCUCCCGGGCCCCCUUCCAAGCUCCAGCUUCGUUUUCUGACGACCCCCGGUCUCGCCUCCAGGUUCCCUGCAAGCCCUCUAGAUUCUGCACCAUCACUUCAGGGGCUUCUCCUGAUUACCAGGCCCAGUUUCCUUGGGAGAAGCUAGCCCCUGAACUGACCAGUCGUGUGGCCUGGGACAACUCACGUGACUUCUCUGGGCUUCCGUAAGGAUGAUGGAGAGGCGGGAGCGCAGGGUGUGCAGUGGCAGUUUGGCGAUGUCAAUGCCGUCGAUGAUGAUGCGCCCUGUGCGGAGACAGUAACACAGGCGAGAGAGAAGGAGGACUUCCCACUGCCUGUGCGGCCACAGAUCCCAAUCUGGAAAGAGGAGCAGGGACACGGAGCCCGUGGAUGCGCUUCACUGCCCCCAGCUGGAUCUCCAUGUCCGCCAGGUUCCUCACCAUCCAGUUGAGGGUCUCGCUAUUACAGUAAAGCACCUUCCGACUGCCUACACGACGAGGCCAGAAACGGAGGAAUCAUCUGGAUUCACAACCAAUCCCUCUACAAGACUUCUCACUUCCGCCUCCAAAGUAGGCCUUGCUUCUGCCUGCCUCUCUCCUGCUUGCUGUCCACCACAAACUCACCGGGCCUACUGCGUCAGCUUCCCCGUAGGUUUACCUGUGGUCUCCCCUGCUCUGCUGACAGCAGCCGGCAUGAUCUUUAUAAAUCAUAAAUUACAUCCCAUCUCACUCCUGCUUAGAAUAUCAAUGGCUCCGAGGCCAAAGAGCCACCUCCUUGCCGAGAGCCUGUGGGAGAUCCUUCCAUGCCACAAAUCCCCUUGCUCACUGCUUUGCAGCCACAGAAAUUACAAUAAUUUAUUACUUGCCCUUUCUCAGUUUUGUCACAAUACCAAGGUCUUUCUCACCCCAGGGCCUUUCACACGCUGUCCCCUGGGCCUGGAAUGCUUUCUCCUCCGCUCUUCACAAGGCUGACUCCUCUCAGCCUUCAGGCUUUACCUCAAAUGACAUCUCCCCAGGGUGGCCUUUCCCGGACCGUUGUUCUCCCUUUCUGCAACCUGCUUGUUUUAUAACCUCUGUUCAUGUGUUCAUUUCUCUAGGGGCUUAUCUCCCUCACGAGACUGUAAACUUAUGGGAAUGGAACCCACGGCUGUUUUGCUCACAGGGCAUCCCUAGCACCUGGCACUGUCAAUAAAUACUUGCUGAAUGAAUAAAUGGAAGCUUCCUUGACCCUCCAAGGGGGAAUACAACUCUACUACUGUCUGAUGAUUACUCUAGUAAGAGUACCCAACUGCCCAUCGAAGAGCACCUCCCAUCCCCCCUCCCCUGAGGCUGGCAAAGCCUGCCAUCACCUGGACGCCACCCGGAAGUACUUCUGGAUGAAGUAGCACACCACGGCCAGGGGCAAGAGGGCCACGAGGAACACAGGCGUGACGUAGGAGAUGACAGCCAGGGCUGAGACGCAGAGCAGGGUGGAGCGGCUCAGGCACUCCAGCGUGGAUGGGAUGUGCUGUCGGAGGGGAAGGCACACGUCUCAUCUCUCCAGCUACACUGUAGGUUCCCUGAAAGCAGGAAUCAGGACUUUGUUUCCUCACCAUCUAGUACGAUGAUAAACCAAAAACACAAGCUGAAUCGAAAGGAAUAUUCGCCACAAAAGCAGUCACCUUGGUUCAGACUACACUGGAACCUUACUGAUGUGAGCCAGGGGGUAUUGGAUGGAAGCCAAAGGGCUGUGGUUUCCCUCAGUCUUAUCUCGACAGCUUCACAGGGGCAGCCCCAGGCCCUCAGGCAGCCUUGUAAUCAGAUUGGAACCCACUGGGUUGGUCUCACAGGGCUCUGAGCACCAGAUCUGGGGAAGCCAGCCCCAGAGAAGAGAUGUGUGGGGCUGGCGUCUUUCUGAACUGGGGAAAUGGGUCACAGUCUUGUGUACCUGGUCGAUGGUGUUACAGUCAGCUGAAAAUCUAUUCAGGAUGCUUCCAAGGGGCGUGGUCUCAAAAAACCUAAGAGGAAACCAGAAGAAGUUAGUCAUCCGUUUAUUGAUUUCCUUCCUGUUUAUUGAAUGAGGGUAGUUAUUUCUUUCA